rnacentral:rRNA from 1 species
GACGUAGGGGGCCAGCGUUGCUCGGAAUUACUGGGUGUAAAGGGUUCGUAGGCGGUGUGGCAAGUCGGGAGUGAAAUCUCUGGGCUCAACCCAGAGUCUGCUUCCGAAACUGCUGUGCUUGAGUGUGGGAGAGGCGCGUGGAAUUGCAGGUGUAGCGGUGAAAUGCGUAGAUAUCUGCAGGAACACCCGUGGCGAAAGCGGCGCGCUGGACCACUACUGACGCUGAGGAACGAAAGCUAGGGGGAGCAAACAGG